rnacentral:rRNA from 1 species
GGGCCCCGGGCCUCCUGCCUAUAAUGCAAGUCGAACGCACUCUCGUUUAGAUUGAAGGAGCUUGCUCCUGAUUGAUAAACAUUUGAGUGAGUGGCGGACGGGUGAGUAACACGUGGGUAACCUGCCCUAAAGUGGGGGAUAACAUUUGGAAACAGAUGCUAAUACCGCAUAAAACCUAACACCGCAUGGUGUAGGGUUGAAAGAUGGUUUCGGCUAUCACUUUAGGAUGGACCCGCGGUGCAUUAGUUAGUUGGUGAGGUAAAGGCUCACCAAGACCGUGAUGCAUAGCCGACCUGAGAGGGUAAUCGGCCACACUGGGACUGAGACACGGCCCAGACUCCUACGGGAGGCAGCAGUAGGGAAUCUUCCACAAUGGACGAAAGUCUGAUGGAGCAACGCCGCGUGAGUGAAGAAGGUUUUCGGAUCGUAAAACUCUGUUGUUGGAGAAGAAUGUAUCUGAUAGUAACUGAUCAGGUAGUGACGGUAUCCAACCAGAAAGCCACGGCUAACUACGUGCCAGCAGCCGCGGUAAUACGUAGGUGGCAAGCGUUGUCCGGAUUUAUUGGGCGUAAAGCGAGCGCAGGCGGUUUCUUAAGUCUGAUGUGAAAGCCUUCGGCUCAACCGAAGAAGUGCAUCGGAAACUGGGAAACUUGAGUGCAGAAGAGGACAGUGGAACUCCAUGUGUAGCGGUGAAAUGCGUAGAUAUAUGGAAGAACACCAGUGGCGAAGGCGGCUGUCUGGUCUGUAACUGACGCUGAGGCUCGAAAGCAUGGGUAGCAAACAGGAUUAGAUACCCUGGUAGUCCAUGCCGUAAACGAUGAGUGCUAGGUGUUGGAGGGUUUCCGCCCUUCAGUGCCGCAGCUAACGCAUUAAGCACUCCGCCUGGGGAGUACGACCGCAAGGUUGAAACUCAAAGGAAUUGACGGGGGCCCGCACAAGCGGUGGAGCAUGUGGUUUAAUUCGAAGCAACGCGAAGAACCUUACCAGGUCUUGACAUCCUUUGACCACUCUAGAGAUAGAGCUUUCCCUUCGGGGACAAGUGACAGGUGGUGCAUGGUUGUCGUCAGCUCGUGUCGUGAGAUGUUGGGUUAAGUCCCGCACGAGCGCACCUUAUUACUAGUGCCAGCAUUUAGUGGGCACUCUAGUGAGACUGCGUGACAACGAGAGGUGGGGACGACGUCAUCAUCAUGCCCUUAUGACUGGCUACACACGUGCUACAUGAUGUACACGAGGUGCGGACCGGAGUAGCUAUCUCUAAACACUCUCAGCUCGGAAUGUAAGGUGUAAUGGGC